rnacentral:rRNA from 1 species
CGAUACGAGUUUGAUCAUGGCUCAGAACGAACGCUGGCGGCAUGCCUAACACAUGCAAGUCGAACGAAGCCUUCGGGCUUAGUGGCGCACGGGUGCGUAACACGUGGGAAUCUGCCCUUCGGUUCGGAAUAACAGUUAGAAAUGACUGCUAAUACCGGAUGAUGACGUAAGUCCAAAGAUUUAUCGCCGAAGGAUGAGCCCGCGUAGGAUUAGGUAGUUGGUAGGGUAAUGGCCUACCAAGCCGACGAUCCUUAGCUGGUCUGAGAGGAUGAUCAGCCACACUGGGACUGAGACACGGCCCAGACUCCUACGGGAGGCAGCAGUGGGGAAUAUUGGACAAUGGGCGAAAGCCUGAUCCAGCAAUGCCGCGUGAGUGAUGAAGGCCUUAGGGUUGUAAAGCUCUUUUACCAGGGAUGAUAAUGACAGUACCUGGAGAAUAAGCUCCGGCUAACUCCGUG